AUCAGACCUUGCUUCUAUCACCAGUCACAUCCACAACUGGGUGUUGUUUUUGCUUUGGCUCUGUCUCUUCAUUCUUUCUGGAGUUAUUUCUCCACUGAUCUCCAGUAGCAUACUGGGCACCUGCCGACCUGGGGAGUUCAUCUUUCAGUGUCCUGUCUUUUUUCCUUUUCAUACUGUUAAUGGGAGUGGCAAGCGGUGGCUGUGCAGCGCUGGGGUGGCAAGCAGCCAAGAGGAGCUACCCCUCGUUCAAGACAAGGAGCAGAGGCUGCACUUUGCUGGAACAGCCAUGAAGAGAUACCCCACAUCCAAGUCUUCUAAUAAAAAUACGGACAAAGCUUGUGGAGGUGAUGGAAUUCCAGGUGAGCUCUUUCAAAUCCUGAAAGAUGAUGCUGUGAAAGUGCUGCACUCAAUAUGUCAGCAAAUUCGGAAAACUCAGCAGUGGCCACAGGACUGGAAAAGGUCAUUCUUCAUUUCAAUCUCAAAGAAAGGCAAUGCCAAAGAAUGCUCAAACUACCGCACAAUUAACCUCACAUGCUAGCAAAGUAAUGCUCAAAAUU
ensembl:lncRNA